rnacentral:rRNA from 1 species
UACGGAGGGGGCUAGCGUUGUUCGGAAUUACUGGGCGUAAAGCGCACGUAGGCGGCUACUCAAGUCGGGGGUGAAAGCCCGGGGCUCAACCCCGGAACUGCCUUCGAAACUAGGUAGCUAGAAUCUUGGAGAGGCGAGUGGAAUUCCGAGUGUAGAGGUGAAAUUCGUAGAUAUUCGGAAGAACACCAGUGGCGAAGGCGACUCGCUGGACAAGUAUUGACGCUGAGGUGCGAAAGCGUGGGGAGCAAACAGG